rnacentral:rRNA from 1 species
UACGAAGGGGGCUAGCGUUGCUCGGAAUUACUGGGCGUAAAGCGUGCGCAGGCGGCUUUGCAAGACAGAUGUGAAAUCCCCGGGCUCAACCUGGGAACUGCAUUUGUGACUGCAAGGCUAGAGUACGGCAGAGGGGGAUGGAAUUCCGCGUGUAGCAGUGAAAUGCGUAGAUAUGCGGAGGAACACCAAUGGCGAAGGCAAUCCCCUGGGCCUGUACUGAC